AACGCACGAGACCUGCGGACCUGCGGAGGGAUCAUUAAUGAGUUGCAAAACUCCCUAAACCAUUGUGAACCUACCUGUACCGUUCCUUCGGCGGGCGGCGUCAAGCCCUAACCCGUCUCCCUUUACGGGGGAUGGACCCGCCGGAGGCUUCUAAACUCUUAACUUUUGUUGGCAUCUCUGAGUAAAUCAAAAUAAGUCAAAACUUUCAACAAUGGAUCUCU
rnacentral:misc_RNA from 1 species